GUAAAUCUUAAACACAUAUUUUCCAGUUCAAGGGUCUCAGCAAAAGCCCUAACUUAGCAUUUUCCUCUUUUCUCUUUCUCCGCCUCAUUGCUUCUAGGCAAAUCCCCGAUUUACUGGCAUCGUCGGCACUCAAUCCAAGCGGCCAUCGUCGUCGUCGUCGUCAUCGUCGGCAAUCCAAGCGGCCAUCGUCGGCACUCAGGCUCCUCUCCAUCUCCGGUCCUCAUUUUGUGGAUGCCAUCGGAGGAAGAAAUUCUCCCAUUUUGGUUGAACGUGGUUGGAGGCGUGUAUAAGGGUAGAGCAUAUGGCUUUCCUCCGAGCGCAACUAUCAUCGCCUCGAGUGUGGACUACAAGGUAUUGGGACAUCCGUCACCGUGCAAAAUGAGGACGUUGAGGAGAUGCGGCGAACGAUUCAACAACUUUCGAGGAACUAUGCAGAUGAACGAGAGAAAAGAAAGCACGAAGAGAAGAUCAAAACCGCACUUAGGAAUGACAUCGAGUCCCUCAAGGCUCAAGUGAACCACUUAAUUGGCCUGCCCCGCUCUUCGCCAAAAAGCCACAUUUAUGAAGUGGAUGAAUGUGAUGGAAACAAAAUAAAUGCUGAAGAAGAUAAGGGGGAAUCCGAAGAUGAGGAGUGAUUUUAUGUUUGGUUGGAUUGUUUAGUUUGAUGUUGACUUUGAAUAUUACAUAUUGAAGUUUGGUUGGAUAGUUUUGAUGUUUGAUGGGAUAAUUUGAAUGUUUGGAUAGUUUAUGAAGUUUUGUUAUUGUUAAUUUGUGUUUUAUUGUGGUUGUA